UGGCCUCGGGUGCACCACAUGCUGGUGCUUUCCGGCGCUCAACGAGACCACCAUCCCCAUCUCAGACUUCAACGCUGAAGAUCUGGUACAUCUGUUACAAGCUCUUCCUCGAUCGCUCAACUUGGCCAAGGCGGCGAGGACUAAGCUCCAGGUGGCGGCCCUCGUCUCACCUUCCUCUUACAGGUUCCCCGCUGCCUGUCACUGAGCAUCGGGGGUAUUAAAGAUGUCAGCGGUGGCAGGGAGCAUGGGAGCGAUGGCGAAAGCCGGACCGCAGGAGCUUUCUGAGGUGGUCCAUGCCAUGGAAGAGGGUGUCGCACACAAAAAUUGAGAGAACGUCAGCACUGAUAUGGGAAAAGGCGUCGAUGUGGUCAUUGCCUUCUGAGAUGACGCUCAAGGGAAUGACGCGAGUAGGCCAUCUGAUUUGUCUCCUUCCUUGCCCCAGCAGCAUGCUCAUCUUCAGCUUGCAGCUGAUUGUUCUUUUCCUCGAAGCUACAUCACGAAGAUGGGGCACUGCAAAAGUAUGAACUUUAUGCAUGGAUGUCUUUCAUGCUGCUCAACCCAGGCAUGUUGUUGUUGUUGUGCCAUUUUCUCUGAGAUGGGGCUGGUGGUAUUCACCGUGAAGGUAC